UACGUAGGGUGCGAGCGUUAAUCGGAAUUACUGGGCGUAAAGUGUGCGCAGGCGGCCGAGCAAGUCGAGUGUGAAAGCCCCGAGCUUAACUUGGGAACUGCGCUCGAAACUACUUGGCUAGAGUGUGGCAGAGGGAGGUGGAAUUCCACGUGUAGCGGUGAAGUGCGUAGAGAUGUGGAGGAACACCGAUGGCGAAGGCAGCCUCCUGGGCCAACACUGACGCUCAUGCACGAAAGCGUGGGGAGCAAACAGG
rnacentral:rRNA from 1 species